UUUUCACUUAUUUUAUUAACCAUACAGCCUUUCGGAGACUUUGAUAAAGAAUCCCUUCCUUCGGCGAACGCCUAGACACUUCUAUAGUGGGAUCUCUUGAACCUAUGAAACUCGUGAAAGUGGGUGAACCCCUUGCCCCUUCCCUGGCUCUCCUUGCACGUAUCCCGAGUCGCGAGGUGAAACUGAAAGUGGAAAUAGAAUUCCAUAUCCGCUGUGGUGCUUUGCUCCCUCCGGUUCGUUGAUCUGUGGGCAUACGGGUCUUUUCCGGAAAUAAAGGAUUGCUACCCUUGUCCCUCACAGCACCACCCUUGAAGCUGAACCAAAUUCUUGUGCCGCAAGUGACAACCGUUUUGGUACCUUAC
rnacentral:lncRNA from 1 species